UGGGGAAUCUUCCGCAAUGGACGAAAGUCUGACGGAGCAACGCCGCGUGAGUGAUGACGGCCUUCGGGUUGUAAAGCUCUGUUAAUCGGGACGAAUGGUUCUUGUGCAAAUAGUGCGAGGAUUUGACGGUACCGGAAUAGAAAGCCACGGCUAACUACGUGCCAGCAGCCGCGGUAAUACGUAGGUGGCAAGCGUUGUCCGGAAUUAUUGGGCGUAAAGCGCGCGCAGGCGGAUUGGUCAGUCUGUCUUAAAAGUUCGGGGCUUAACCCCGUGAUGGGAUGGCAACUGCCAAUCUAGAGUAUCGGAGAGGAAAGUGGAAUUCCUAGUGUAGCGGUGAAAUGCGUAGAUAUUAGGAAGAACACCAGUGGCGAAGGCGACUUUCUGGACGAAAACUGACGCUGAGGCGCGAAAGCCAGGGGAGCGAACGGG
rnacentral:rRNA from 1 species